rnacentral:rRNA from 1 species
CUACCAUGCAGUCGACGGCAGCACAGGAGAGCUUGCUCUCUGGGUGGCGAGUGGCGGACGGGUGAGGAAUACAUCGGAAUCUACUUUUUCGUGGGGGAUAACGUAGGGAAACUUACGCUAAUACCGCAUACGACCUACGGGUGAAAGCAGGGGAUCUUCGGACCUUGCGCGAUUGAAUGAGCCGAUGUCGGAUUAGCUAGUUGGCGGGGUAAAGGCCCACCAAGGCGACGAUCCGUAGCUGGUCUGAGAGGAUGAUCAGCCGCACUGGAACUGAGACACGGUCCAGACUCCUACGGGAGGCAGCAGUGGGGAAUAUUGGACAAUGGGCGCAAGCCUGAUCCAGCCAUACCGCGUGGGUGAAGAAGGCCUUCGGGUUGUAAAGCCCUUUUGUUGGGAAAGAAAUCCAGCUGGCUAAUACCCGGUUGGGAUGACGGUACCCAAAGAAUAAGCACCGGCUAACUUCGUGCCAGCAGCCGCGGUAAUACGAAGGGUGCAAGCGUUACUCGGAAUUACUGGGCGUAAAGCGUGCGUAGGUGGUCGUUUAAGUCCGUUGUGAAAGCCCUGGGCUCAACCUGGGAACUGCAGUGGAUACUGGGCGACUAGAGUGUGGUAGAGGGUAGCGGAAUUCCUGGUGUAGCAGUGAAAUGCGUAGAGAUCAGGAGGAACAUCCAUGGCGAAGGCAGCUACCUGGACCAACACUGACACUGAGGCACGAAAGCGUGGGGAGCAAACAGGAUUAGA